rnacentral:rRNA from 1 species
ACGAGUGCGUCGAGCGUUAUCCGGAAUCAUUGGGCGUAAAGGGUGCGUAGGCGGUUCGUUAAGUCUGUUGUGAAAUCCCCGGGCUCAACCUGGGAAUGGCAGUGGAUACUGGAAAGCUAGAGUGCGGUAGAGGGUAGUGGAAUUCCCGGUGUAGCAGUGAAAUGCGUAGAGAUCGGGAGGAACACCAGUGGCGAAGGCGGCUACCUGGACCAGCACUGACACUGAGGCACGAAAGCGUGGGGAGCAAACAGGA